GACGAACGCUGGCGGCGUGCUUAACACAUGCAAGUCGAACGGAAAGGCCCUGCUUUUGUGGGGUGCUCGAGUGGCGAACGGGAGAGUAACACGAGAGUGACCGGACCUUGACUUUGGGAUAACUUCAGGAAACUGGGGCGAAUACCGGUUAGGAGCUCCAGCUGCGAGGUGGGGGUUGGAAAGUGUCGGCGGUUGGGGAUGGACUCGCGGCGUAUCAGCUUGUUGGUGGGGGAGUGGUUUACGAAGGCUGUGACGGGUAGCCGGCCUUAGAGGGUGAACGGCCACAUUGCGACUGCGAUACGGCGCAGACUCCUACGGGAGGCAGCAGUGGGGAAUAUUGCAGAACGGGCGGAAGCCUGAUGCAGCAACGCCGCGUGCGUGAUGCCGGCCUUCGGGUUGUAAACCGCUUUCGCCUGUGACGAAGCGUGAGUGACGGUAAUGGGUAAAGAAGCACCGGCUAACUACGUG
rnacentral:rRNA from 1 species